rnacentral:rRNA from 1 species
AUGGAAGCAGACGGCAACGAGAUCUCGCGCCUGCCGGAGGAGCUCCUCGCGUCGAUCAUCUCCCGCACGUCGCCGCCGGACGCCGGACGCUGUGCCGCCGUCUCCCGCUCCUUCCUCGCCGCGGCGGAUUCCGACGCCGUCUGGUCCUGCUUCCUGCCCCGCGACCUCCCACGGUUCGCUGAAGGUGUGCUCCCCCACGCGCCGCCGUCCAAGAAGGGCUUGUUCCGAUGCCUCUCCGACCAACCGGCGCUCCUCCCAGGCAAGCUCGUGAUGACGUUAUGCUCCCUCGAAAAAGGGUUGACGGCUGGAUGGAGGUCGAGCUAG